rnacentral:rRNA from 1 species
GACAGAGGGUGUGAACGUUGUUCGGAAUUACUGGGCGUAAAGCGCGUGUAGGCUGUUCGGAAAGUCGGGUGUGAAAGCCCUGGGCUCAACCUAGGAAGUGCACUCGAAACUCCCGAACUGGAGUCCCGGAGAGGAAGGUGGAAUUCUCGGUGUAGAGGUGAAAUUCGUAGAUAUCGAGAGGAACAUCGGUGGCGAAGGCGGCCUUCUGGACGGUGACUGACGCUGAGACGCGAAAGCGUGGGGAGCAAACAGG